UGUGUGUGUGUGUGUGUUGGGGAGGACCACUUUUGUCAGCCUGCUAAAUUCUUCAUUGACUAGUUUUUUCCUGAUAGCCUACAAUUUGAAUUAGCACACAACCAAAACAGUAAAAUUUGCCAGAACUCAUUUACUUCACACUCCUUAACUAUGAUACCAUGAUAUCUUAUAAAACUUGCAUAUUAAAUCAUGGUUACUUGUG
rnacentral:misc_RNA from 1 species